rnacentral:lncRNA from 1 species
AAAAAAAAAUGAACUCACUUUUCGGCCACAAAUGUUCACUUUUGUUAUUUGGUUUAUUUGUUAUUUGGUUUAUCUUACAUAACUUUACCACCGGUUAAAACUCAAACUUUUUAAAAUAGUAUAAUUGACUUCGACUUACCUCAAACCUGUGAAACAACCGUUGUAUUCUAAAAGAAUAAGUUGUUAGAAAACGGUGUUUAUAUAAUUUUAUAUUUAACACUUUCUCAUGUCUAGGCUCAAAACUUUUUGCAAAGUCCAUGAUGUGGAUUUGAAUUAAAUGGGAGGAAAUUAAUAAUGUUAGAAGCCCGGCACGACUUGAUAAUAGAAUUAUAUAGAGAAACUUCAGUUUCACAACUAUAUAUGCAAAUAGACAGCAAAAAAAAAUACAAUUUUUAUCUGAACUUUAAUUCAUCCGAAAAGCUAUUUUUAUCUAAACCUCAU